CAGCCGCCACGGGAAUACGAAGGGGGCUAGCGUUGCUCGGAAUUACUGGGCGUAAAGGGAGCGUAGGCGGGUCGUUUAGUCAGAGGUGAAAUCCCGGGGCUCAACCUCGGAACUGCCUUUGAUACUGGCGACCUUGAGUAUGGGAGAGGUAAGCGGAACUCCGAGUGUAGAGGUGAAAUUCGUAGAUAUUCGGAAGAACACCAGUGGCGAAGGCGGCUUACUGGCCCAUUACUGACGCUGAGGCUCGAAAGCGUGGGGAGCAAACAGGAUUAGAUACCCGGGUAGUCCCUGUCUCUUAUAC
rnacentral:rRNA from 1 species